UGUUAGCCCAAUUCACUGGUUUCCUUAGUGUAUAAGGAAGGAUACGGGAACCAGUGACUCAUUGGGUUAAGA